rnacentral:rRNA from 1 species
ACCUGGGAAUUGCGCUUGGGACUGAGAGGCUUGAGUACGGGAGAGGAGAGUGGAAUUCCCAGUGUAGAGGUGAAAUUCGUAGAUAUCGGGAGGAACACCUGUGGCGAAAGCGGCUCACUGGACCACAACUGACGCUGAUGCACGAAAGCUAGGGGAGCAAACAGGAUUAGAUACCCUGGUAGUCCUAGCCCUAAACGAUGAUUGCUUGGUGUGUUGGGUACCCAAUCCCAACGUGCCGAAGCUAACGCGAUAAGCAAUCCGCCUGGGGAGUACGGUCGCAAGACUGAAACUCAAAGGAAUUGACGGGGGCCCGCACAGGCGGUGGAGCAUGUGGUUCAAUUCGACGCAACGCGAAGAACCUUACCUGGGCUCGAAAUGUAGUGGACCGGGGUAGAAAUAUCCCUUUUCGCAA